GAUGAACGCUAGCGGCAGGCUUAAUACAUGCAAGUCGAGGGGUAACAGGUCUGUAGCAAUACAGAUGCUGACGACCGGCAAACGGGUGCGGAACACGUACAGAACCUUCCUUCGAGUGGGAGAUAGCCCAGGGAAACUUGGAGUAAUAUCCCAUAGGAUCAUAGAGUGGCAUCACUUAGUGAUUAAAGAUUUAUCGCUUGAAGAUGGCUGUGCGGCUGAUUAGGUAGUUGGUGUAGGUAACGGCUCUCCAAGCCUUCGAUCAGUAACUGGUGUGAGAGCACGACCAGUCACACGGGCACUGAGACACGGGCCCGACUCCUACGGGAGGCAGCAGUAAGGAAUAUUGGGCAAUGGAGGCAACUCUGACCCAGCCAUGCCGCGUGGAGGAUGAAGGUCCUCUGGAUUGUAAACUUCUUUUAUUUGGGAAGAAAUGCCGAUUUUCUAAUUGGUUUGACGGUACCAGAUGAAUAAGCACCGGCUAACUCCGUGCCAGCAGCCGCAGUAACAC
rnacentral:rRNA from 1 species